GCUUAGAAAAAAAAAAACCCAUAACAGAUUUUUAGACACAGGAGAUGACGUCUCUUCACAUCCACACUUUCUCUGCUGUGUUAGCAGCGGCUGCUGGCUUCUCCUCUGGGCUUCUAUCCUUGAGUUCACAGGUAAUCAAGACCCCACUGUGGCCAGCAAAUCUGCAAAGCACAAUGCAGUGUCCUGGUGUGCGUGUGGCAGUCACAGACAGCAUUUACUACCCCUGUGGAAAAUGCCUAGGAUCGUGUUUGCACUCUUAUGUGAAAAUUUACUGCCUACUUCAUUAAGCUUUAGUAUUGAUAUGGAAUUUAGUUAUGCUUACCACCUCCUUAGCUGUUUUCUGUGGUAUUUCUUUGUUGAUUUUUUUUUUUCCUUGUUGUUAGGAGACAGGGUAUCACACUGUAGCCCAGGUUGGUCACAACCCCUGCCACUCAAUCUGUCCCAGCUGCAGAAUUCUGGGAUUGCAUGCAUGUGCUGUCAUACCCUGCUUGCUACUCUUAACUGCCUACGUCAUUCUCACUGUUACAUGGGGGUUUACCUCACCCUCCAGAUACCACUAGAAAAUCCUGUGUCCGUGUGAAUUGGUAACUUUUCUGUCACUUGCUUCCUGGGCUUGGCUGGAUUCACCCUGUGUGGGGGCAGAAUUUCACCACUUCGUGUUCAUUUUAGGUUAGCACAUUAACUUCCUGUGAGGCAGUCUCCUUUUGUUCCGAGUGUGUUUUCUUAGUCAUUGUUUUCCUUCCCACCUUCUGAGAUAGCUUUUGAAAGUGCCUAGUAAAAACAGCAGGGGAGGGGAAAAAAUGGGCCAAAAGUAUGUGAAAUGCUAGGGUAGAGGUUGCUAUUCUGGAUAGCACGUCCAGGGGAGGCCCCACUGAGAGGACACCUUGGAGUGUAGCGCUGGAAGAAGGGAGGGACCAAGAGACAUGGCUGCCCUGAGAAAAGCGUGGCCCACGGAACAGCUCGUGCAGAGGUCCCGAGGCAGGUGCAAACUGGACAUGAUCUACAGCUGCCAGCAACCAGCGUGCCUGGAGCCCAGUAAAUGAGGAGAAUGUGAGCAGAUGAUUCGGGAAGAAUGUACUUUCUGGAGUUGAGCAGCCUGCCCUUAAUCACAAAGGCCACACUCCUACAGCAGCUACGUUUGCUGGUCAUUGGGACAAACCAUCGAACAGUGAAUGCUUUUCAACUUCCAGAAUGCUCGACUCUGUACUUGGUGCUUUUCUCUCUUGGAACAGUCACACUUAUGAAGGAGGAUCUGGGAGGAAUGGGUAGACUUGGGGGAAGAACUUGGGUACUAGUUCUUGACUGGAUCAAUAUUGCCACUUGGUUGGGGACUCCACAAGCCUCAUGGCCGUCGGGGAGACCAUCCGAGAGAGGUGAAGAGUGAAACUUGAGUCAAUACCAUCGUUGCAGGCACUGGGUCAAAGACCUCCAGAGUCUGACCUUGUGGUUUAUUCUUCUUACACAUUUAAGCAUAGCAAAACUCUGGGAGACAGUUUCCAUGUGACAGUUAUCACAACAAAGCUUUAGGCAGAGCUACACAGAAACUCCCUAGCAAAGCAGAGCUCAGGGCUAGGGUCUAGAGAAAGGAUCAGUAAUAAGUAUAAGGAUAGAGUCUACUGGUGGAGGAGGCAAAGUACAUGGGGUCUCUUUCUUAGGGAUGGGCUCUAUUCACUGAGAGAUGAAGCUCAGGAUUAGGCCUAAAUGAAGCUCAGGAUAUGGGGGCGGGGGGAUUCAGGUGGAGGCUGGCUCCUGAUAGAAUAGCAAAGAAUCAAGUUGUGUGACCACUUGCACCCUGGCGUCAGGUGGUCAGGUAUCAUUCAUUUCCUUCCUUUGAAGAAAACAGGCCUUCGAGAUUGUGAUCGACAACCCUGGCUGGUCAAUGCCUCCUCUAAGCUGUGCUUCCUACACCACUUACAUGUCUCACUCUGAGAGCUGUCAUCUGGUCACCAGGGGCCAGUCCCACAGUGACACUAGCUGCUUAUAGCACACCAUGAGUCCUCUUUGCAGAUGCGACAUGAGCUGACUUAGUAAUUUUUAAGUUCGUUGUCUUGUUACCCAGAACCUUCUUUUCUCAUUCUCCCUCAGAAAAAGAUAGAACAACCUCCCCCAACCCCCAAUUAAACCCCAAAGCAACUCAAAACAGAACAAGAAAAACUGGAGGGCAUUUUCCUUGAUUAUUUUUCCCGUUCACACCCCUUCCACCUGGCCUCUGCCACAACUGGCAGCGUAAGUGCUGACCUAGCUUGAGCAAAGCUCUUCUUGGGACACAUGGUCCGGGCAGCAGCAGCAGCAGCAGGAAGUACAGGAAAUCUCAUGAGAUGGCCUUUUCGUUUACACUUGCCAGCCUGCCUCUGCAGACUCAUGAGGUCAGCACAUCUGAGUCUCUGUGGAGGGUGCCGGAACAGACCCUCAGCUUUCAACUGUUUGAGACUCGUUUACAACUGGCACAGUAACCGCAGGGCACAUUGGUCAGAGGCCAGCCACAGUCUGUGGCUACCAGGAGCGGGUCGGCGGGGAGCAGGCUGAGACAGUUCUUGUUUUAACAGUUUGAGGCACAGGAACCCAGUAGCUAAUGCUGGCAGUGAAAGGAAACCAAGCGCAUUUUCUCUGUUAGUGCCUCCCCGAGCCAGAUUAGUCAGAUGGUGCUCCUGAGUCCUUUCGAAGUCACUGAGAGAGGAAGGGCCUGGUCUGUUGCUGUGGUACAAAGGAGCAGCUGACCAUGAGGGGGAAGGGAGAACGGUUAGGUUAAAGGCCAGAGCUGACUUGUUUGGAAGGCUCAGGGAUGGAGCUUUGUGACCAGUGCCUUGCAUUUGGGGACAAUUUAAGCUGACUGAUCACACGUGAAUGUAAGUUUCUGGAUGAAGAUGCUGAUACCAUGACAUCAAGCCACCAGAUAGUCAAAUGUUUCUGUUUCAUCUCUUGUUCAGAGAGAGAGAGAGAGAGAGAGAGAGAGAGAGAGAGAGAGGAGGCUUUGGGGAGAGAAGGGAGGAAAGGAGAGAGAAAGACAGAUAUCUAUAUUUAUAUUUUUCUCUCUAUAUAUAGAUAGAUGAUAGAUUGACAGACCGAUGAUAGAUAGAAAAAUGAUAGAUAGAUAGAUAGAUAGAUAGAUAGAUAGAUAGAUAGAUUUCUUUUAUUCCUUCUAUGAGAAAUGUUUUCUGACAAAGCAAGUCCCUGCUGGAGUCAUGGUUGCUCUCUGCAGGGUUUGCUUGGAAGUACUACUUGGAAGCCAACAUAGAAAGACUAGACCAAGGAUUAAUGACUGGCAGGUCUCAAUCCACCCAGCCUUAUGCCCAACUACAGCACCCGGGGUUCUUGUUUUGUGCUGUAUCUGAUCACCUGACCACACAGCUCAAGAGCUGGAAACCUGGGGUGGUUUGACUCUGUUGGCCAGACCUAGCUUCUAGUGAGCCCAGAAGAUCUUUCGUCUUCAGUCCAGCUGUCAUGAACAGCAGUUCUUCAAUAAGAUUUGCAUCAUCCCAUCAAAUCUACCUUUAAACCAUACUCUGCUAACCGCAGGCUGUGACCUAUAUGUUUAAGAGAGGUCAGCUUUUGCUGGGUGGAGAGUGCAGGAUUUUCAUCACUAAAUUUCUCUGGGUGAAGGCUAAGCACUGGGGCCCUGCUGAGCACCACCCCCCAGGGAAACAGGAAAUGCAUGGGAACCUGGCUACAUAGGUUUGUUUUCAGGCUGUUCAGACAGAUACAUUUUUUGAUGUUAUUUAUUUAAAUUCUUUUUGAAAAUAGUUUCAUUAUUUUUAGAACUUCAUACAUGAGUUCUGCAUCCAUAUGACUCCCACCCCUCCCCUACAUGACUCCAGCUCCUCACAUGUUCCACUUCCCAAAUGCACGAUCUCUUCUUUAAUGAUUACUGUUACAUAUAUAUGCACAUGUACUGAGAAGACAUAUUUUUUAAAUCUUUUUAAACUAGGGCUCUCAUUGUUACUUUUUGUUUGUUUGUUUUGCUUAAAGUCUUCUUAUAAGUAAGAACAAAAUCACAAGAGAUCCUGAGUAAAAUGAAAAGUUUCAAAGGAGUCAGGGUGCACAGAAGAGGAUAAGGGGGUGGGGUGCAUGUGAUGAAGUACAUUAUGUACCCGUAUAAAGAUGUAUAAUGAAACCCAUUAUUAUGUAUAAUCAUUGAUGCUAAUAAAACAUUGAGUUAACAACAACAAAUGGUUUUAGGUCUUUGCCCAUGAACAAACAGUACAUUUCUAAAUGAUAUCCAAUCUAUUUUCUGCUGUGAUAAUAUUGCCACUGCAUAAUGCUUCCAUCGCCUUGAAAAAGACAGGCUGAAGAGAAGAUCCCCUGAGCAGAGCUUUGGGCCAGGCACAUGGUCCACAGUUUCCGUGGAGAGAAAAGCAGUGUGAGAUUAGAAUGUCUGUGGACUCACUGGAGUGAGGUUCUUACAGGAUGGGGCCCUCUCACGUCUCUCCCAGCCUUACAAGUCAGAAGUUUGGGAUUUUAACUUUGCAGAGAGCAAGCUUAGCUCUUUGGGGCCAGCUUUACUUUUUCCAGGACUGAUUUGGCUCUUCUAGACCCCAUCACUGGCGUUGCAAGCCCACCCUCUCCUUCUAGGGACUUAAUGGUCCAGGAUGUAGAGUGCACAUAGCCCACAUGGACAGCAUGCCAAAACAAAUCCCUCUGAAACUCCAUCCCCUGCUCUGGGUGAGGGCCCCGCCUGGCACAGACUUCUGAGAAGCUGAGCAGGGGCCAUGUGAUUUUCUGUACCAGGAUUAGCUAAGAAUAAUACAGAGCCAUUGUAAACACACUUAAGAAUAUGGGGGAGCAUGCUGAAGUUUGCAGUUAUAACUGGUCAAGCAAUUGGGGUAAAGAGAGAGGGGAUGUAGUUAUUAAAUAUGUUAGCUUAUAAUUUAGACCUUAGUCAUAUUAGUGGGGGUGAACAGCUAUGCUGAGUUUUUCUAAGCAAUUGUCUAGCAGGGAAGUGUCAUUUAUCUCUUUUUAUUAACUAUUAUUUGUUUAUUUUUAUGUGUAUGGAUGUUUUGCUUCUAUGUAUGUAUGUAUGCAUGCAUGUAUGUAUGUAUGUAUGUAUGUAUGUAUGUAUGUAUGUGUACCAUGUGGGUGCAGUGCCCAAGGAGGCGGAAGAGACCAUUGGAUCCACUGUAGCUGAGCUGCAGAUGGUUGUGAGCCACCCUAUGAGUUUUGGGAACUGAACCCAGGUCUUCUGGAAGAUCAAUCAAUUAAUCACUGAGUAAUUGCUCCACUUCCAGAAAGUGUCAUUUCUUGGUCACAAAAAGCAAACCUGGACUAGAAAGUGGUGACUUCUCUGUAGCACAAAACUUAGUCUUAUUAAUAAAAUCAAACCUGAGGCCAGUUAUUGGGGUGAAUGCUGGAAGAUCAGAGAAGCAGAACAAGCCACAGCUUCCUCACCUCUCCAGUUCCUCAGCUGAUCCUGUUUCCUCAGACUGGAAGCUUCUGAGUCCUUAUCCAAAUGAAUCUCAGCUGAACUGCUUCUCGAAAGCCUGAAUGCUUAACCAGCCAAAAGCUUCUAGUUUCUGGUCUUCACACCUUAUAUACCUUUCUGUUUUCUGCCAUCACUCUCCCUGGGAUUAAAGGCGUGAGUCACCAUGCUUGGCUGUAUCCUUGAACACACAGAGAUCCAGGUAGAUCUCUGCCUCUGGAAUGCUAGGAUUAAAGGCGUGUGCCACCACUGCCUAACCUCUAUGUUUAAUAUUGUGGCUGUUCUGUUCUGUGACCCCAGAUAAGUUUAUUAGCGUGUACAGUAUUUCGGGGAACACAAUACCACCACAUUACAAUACCACCACACUUCUUCCUCUGUUUCUUGAGGUCACCAAAUCCUCAAGAAAGCACAGUA